GCAUUGGUGGUUCAGUGGUAGAAUUCUCACUUCCCACGUGGGUGACCGGGGUUCGAUUCCCAGCCAAUGCU
rfam:Loxodonta africana unplaced genomic scaffold scaffold_9, whole genome shotgun sequence.